rnacentral:rRNA from 1 species
AUUGAACGCUGGCGGCAUGCUUUACACAUGCAAGUCGGACGGCAGCACAGAGAAGCUUGCUUCUUGGGUGGCGAGUGGCGAACGGGUGAGUAACAUAUCGGAACGUACCGAGCAGUGGGGGAUAACUAAUCGAAAGAUUAGCCAAUACCGCAUAUCUUCUGAGGAAGAAAGCAGGGGACCAUUUGGCCUUGCGCUGUUUGAGCGGCCGAUAUCUGAUUAGCUAGUUGGUGGGGUAAAGGCCUACCAAGGCGACGAUCAGUAGCGGGUCUGAGAGGAUGAUCCGCCACACUGGGACUGAGACACGGCCCAGACUCCUACGGGAGGCAGCAGUGGGGAAUUUUGGACAAUGGGCGCAAGCCUGAUCCAGCCAUGCCGCGUGUCUGAAGAAGGCCUUCGGGUUGUAAAGGACUUUUGUCAGGGAAGAAAAGGGCGGGGUUAAUACCCCUGUCUGAUGACGGUACCUGAAGAAUAAGCACCGGCUAACUACGUG